GAUGAACGCUGGCGGCGUGCUUAACACAUGCAAGUCGAACGGUGAAGCAGGAGCUUGCUCCUGUGGAUCAGUGGCGAACGGGUGAGUAACACGUGAGCAAUCUGCCCUGGACUCUGGGAUAAGCGUUGGAAACGACGUCUAAUACCGGAUACGAGACGCGAAGGCAUCUUCAGCGUCUGGAAAGAACUUCGGUCCAGGAUGAGCUCGCGGCCUAUCAGCUAGUUGGUGAGGUAAUGGCUCACCAAGGCGACGACGGGUAGCCGGCCGGAGAGGGUGACCAGCCACACUGGGACUGAGACACGGCCCAGACUCCUACGGGAGGCAGCAGGGGGGAAUAUUGCACAAUGGGCGCAAGCCUGAUGCAGCAACGCCGCGUGAGGGACGACGGCCUUCGGGUUGUAAACCUCUUUUAGCAGGGAAGAAGCGAAAGUGACGGUACCUGCAGAAAAAGCACCGGCUAACUACGUGCCAGCCGCCGCCGUAAUAC
rnacentral:rRNA from 1 species